UCCUCCCUUCCAGUUCCACAACUCCUUCCUUUUCCAGAAACUUCACCUAUUAACUAUCCUCACAGGUCACCCAGACGGCCUCUGAAGAAUCAGCUUCAAACCACAUGAGUUUGGACAAACAGCGUUCCAAAUCCAUGGGACAUCAAAGUUACCUAAAAAAAGAACAGCGAAACAAGAAGAAAAGGAAAGCAAGAAGGGAAAGAGGCCCGAAGAUGAUGAGGAGACUAGAAGGACCUGAAGAGAGGAAGGAGUGGAGGAAGAGGGCUGAGAAGGAGAGGUGGGAGAGAAGGAAGAAACGCGCUCUCACCGCUCCGGAAGCGGCUGAAACAACAGGUCAAGGCACAAAGUUCUGCCCCAACUUUGUGAGAAGGGAGGUCCCAAAAGGUGCUGACUCUCCUACCUCACACCAAACUCAAAAACUAGUUUGAGGGGCGCCUGGGUGGCUCAGUCGUUAAGCGUCUGCCUUCGGCUCAGGGCGUGAUCCCGGCGUUCUAGGA